GUGUCAAUGUUAGGGUGCUGGUGUUAGGGUGCUGUGUGUGUGUUAGGGUGCUGUGUGUGUGUUAGGGUUCUGUGUCAAUGUUAGGGUGCUGGUGUUAGGGUGCUGUGUCAAUGUUAGGGUGCUGGUGUUAGGGUGCUGUGUGUGUGUAAGGGUGCUGGUGUUAGGGUGCUGUGUGUGUGUUAGGGUGCUGGUGUUAGGGUGCUGUGUGAGUUUUAGGGUGCUGUGUCAAUGUUAGGGUGCUGGUGUUAGGGUGCUGUGUGUGUGUUAGGGUGCUGGUGUUAGGGUGCUGUGUGUGUGUUAG